rnacentral:rRNA from 1 species
UACGGGAGCAGCAGUGGGGAAUAUUGCACAAUGGGCGAAAGCCUGAUGCAGCUAUGCCGCGUGUAUGAAGAAGGCCUUAGGGUUGUAAAGUACUUUCAUCGGGGAGGAAAAAACAAAACUAAUAAUUUUAUUUCUUGACGUUACCCGAAAAAGAAGCACCGGCUAACUCCGUGCCAGCAGCCGCGGUAAUACGGAGGGUGCUAGCGUUAAUCAGAAUUACUGGGCGUAAAGAGCACGUAGGUGGUUUUUUUAAGUCAGAUGUGAAAUCCCUGGGCUUAACCUAGGAACUGCAUUUUGAAACUGAAAUACUAGAGUAUCGUAGAGGGAGGUAGAAUUCUAGGUGUAGCGGUGAAAUGCGUAGAUAUCUGGAGGAAUACCUGUGGCGAAAGCGGCCUCCUAAACGAAUACUGACACUGAGGUGCGAAAGCGUGGGGAGCAAACAGGGAUUAGGAUACC